rnacentral:rRNA from 1 species
GACAGAGGGUGCGAGCGUUGUUCGGAAUUACUGGGCGUAAAGGGCGCGUAGGCGGUCUGUUAAGUUCGGUGUGAAAGCCCUCGGCUCAACCGGGGAAGUGCGCCGGAUACUGACAGACUUGAGUACCGGAGAGGAGGGUGGAAUUCUUGGUGUAGCGGUGAAAUGCGUAGAUAUCAAGAGGAACACCUGAGGUGAAGACGGGUUGCUGGGCUGACACUGACGCUGAGGCGCGAAAGCCAGGGGAGCAAACGGG